rnacentral:lncRNA from 1 species
CAAAUAUGUGUAACUUCUGAAAUAAACAGAAAUUAUGCCAAUUUUGUGUUCGGACGAGAAUAGAGAUAUUGUGAGAGAUAAAAAAAAAAUUACUUUUCGAUGAUUGGAUUGGCAUGGUAGGAAUAAAAAUAAUUAUGAUUGAAAAAAUAAUUAAUCUAAAUAAUAAGCAUCUAAAUACUCGUAAAAUAAUAUUUUAACAAAUUAAUAAAUAAAUUAAUUAAAAAUACUAUAUGAGAUGGUGAAGAAUUACAUUAAUAAGUGAAUAACUAUAAAAAAAUAAGUCGCUAUAUUAAUAUUAAUAAAUUAUUUAAUCAAUUAUAUUUUUAGUUAAUAUAUUAAUUUGAUAAAUUAAAAUAUUAAUUAUGUAAAUGAUGUAAAUAUUAGUUAAUGAUUUAAUAAGCAUAUAUAUCAACUCUAAUUAUUUAAUUAAUUAGAUAAUUAAUUAUAAUUUAUAAAUAAUAAAUUAAUUACUAUUUAAAUACUUAUUAAUGUAAUAAGUCAAAUAAUUAAUUAUUAAUUAAAUUAUUUAAAAGUUAAUUGCAUUAUUUAAUAAAUAUUUUAUAUUAUUUAUAACUUAAUUAACUAGUAGAAGGAUAAAAUAAA